UUACUCUCAUAUUUUGAAAUUAACCUAGAACACAACAUUUAAACCUAAUACUUAUUUUCAAAUUUGGUAUGCCCUUCCUGCUUCCCAAUGACUGCUAACAUCCGAUGAGUCAAUGAAUUGAAUAAGUUUUCUAUUAAAUUCACUGGAACUUUGUCCCAGGCGGCUCUAACAGCGGCGAUUAAUUCUUUUCUAGUCUUGCUUCAGUAUAAAUGCGAUUGAGCAACCAACCCCAUAAGUUUUCUAUGAUAUGUAAGUCUGGGGAAAUAGCCAGCCAGUCCAGAGCUGAAAUAUUAUUAGCGGUCAACCAGGUUUGGAUUAUUUGGGCGAUGUGAAUUGACGCAUUGUCUUGUUGCAAUAUCCAUUAUUUAGUCCAUCCACUUUUAGAACACUCAAUUAUACUCAAAUUACUAUUAGACAACUGUGAAUCCGUUGUCAAAUGAAAUGGUUUUGUUUUUUCUACUUGCCUAGCGACCUGCGAUUCUAAAAAGUGAAUAAGAGUAAUCGCACUAUCAAUUAUUAUAGUUGCUUCUAACAAUUUUUCCAUUAUGAAGUACUAGUAAAUACAACGAAUUGUUGAACGAAUACUAUUAAAACAUUGUAUCCAAUGAUACAUGUGGCUUGCUUAUCAAAAUUUUGACUAUUAACAAAAACACAGUUAAGUGUCGCGGACUGUAUCUUCCAAAACUUUUCAAAAAUAUGUUGUCAUUUCUUUUCUCGUACUCGAAGUGAGCCCAUACAACCUUCCAAAAGAACCACUUUUGAAUCAUCCGCUUGGUUUAAUUUACAAUCAUUUUGUGUCGUUUAUACAAUAAUUCCUCUAUUUAUUUAUGACUAUUUAGUAUGAUAAUUAUGAAAGAAAAAGCUAUCGCGAUUGCACAGCAUCUUGCUGGAGUUUUUGAACCUCAUGACCUUGUAUCAACCCAAGAAGAAAGACAAGAACUAGAAAACCUCCUUAGUGCACCUUACCAGUUAGAUAACUCAAUAAAAAGAUUCACGUACAACGAAGUCAAAACAGUAAUUUUAAAAGAAAUUAAUCCUGCCAAAGCUCCUGGGUUCGAUCUCAUCACUGGAAAAAUUCAUGUCAUCUGUCAAUGAGCUGUUAGUUCAUUAUUAUACGAAAAUUUUUACACAAAGGUAAGUACCACUUCUUCAUACAUUGUAUUUAUAGUUGUACCUAGCUUUUCUAUUGUGGUCUGGGAUAAAUAGUGGAACGCUUAUAGGUAACAGUGUGUGAUCUAUUCAGAACCAUGUGCCGAGACAAUAUAUGUAUGUAGGUGUGAAACUGUGAUAUACUUGUAAUGUAUCAGGUGGUACAGUUAGACGAACUUGCGGGCAGUAUCCUGGCAGUGAUCAACCGGAACUUGCUCACACCACUCAAGCAAGAGGUACCUCCGGAAGUUAAAGCUGACAGCAAUUGGAGGCCUUUUGGAAUAAAAAGAGUUUUCUUUCGAACGGGUUCGUAAGAAUAGUAGUUUUUUUUAUCUGUCCUCCGGUUUUUAUUAUUAUUUUUGUGGCUGGUCAGAACUACUUUUAAUUAAUUAAAGUUGUAACCAUCUUUGCUUGCUUCCUGUCAAUAAAAUACGAUUUAAGGUUC